rnacentral:pre_miRNA from 1 species
CCCACACCCAUGUGUAUAGGACCCCAAAGGAUCACCAUCAAAUUUGGCACAGAUCUCUAGAAAAGUUAUCACAAGGAUGUGGGAUUUGACUUUUUUAGAGAUAUAUGCCAAUUUUAAUGGUGAUCCUUUGGGGUCCUAUACACAUGGGUGUGGG